rnacentral:rRNA from 1 species
UACGGAGGGAGCAAGCGUUACUCGGAAUUACUGGGCGUAAAGGGCGCGUAGGCGGCCAUCUAAGUCAGACGUGAAAUCCCCCGGCUCAACCUGGGAACUGCGUCUGAUACUGGACGGCUUGAGUUUGGGAGAGGGAUGUAGAAUUCCAGGUGUAGCGGUGAAAUGCGUAGAUAUCUGGAGGAAUACCGGUGGCGAAGGCGGCAUCCUGGACCAAUACUGACGCUGAGGCGCGAAAGCUAGGGGAGCAAACGGG